CGGACGGGUGAGUAAUGUAUGGGGAUCUGCCUGAUGGAGGGGGAUAACUACUGGAAACGGUAGCUAAUACCGCAUAAUGUCUGCGGACCAAAGCGGGGGGACCUCCGGGCCUCGCGCCAUCAGAUGAACCCAUAUGGGAUUAGCUAGUAGGUAAGGUAACGGCUUACCUAGGCGACGAUCCCUAGCUGGUCUGAGAGGAUGACCAGCCACACUGGAACUGAGACACGGUCCAG
rnacentral:rRNA from 1 species